GACGAACCGUGCGAACGUUGUUCGGAAUCACUGGGCUUAAAGGGCGCGUAGGCGGGCUGCCAAGUCCGUGGUGAAAUCCCCCGGCUCAACCGGGGAAUGGCCUCGGAUACUGGCGGUCUUGAGGGAGGUAGGGGCGUGCGGAAGUGUAGGUGGAGCGGUGAAAUGCGUUGAUAUCUACAGGAACUCCGGUGGCGAAGGCGGCACGCUGGACCUCUUCUGACGCUGAGGCGCGAAAGCCAGGGGAGCGAACGGG
rnacentral:rRNA from 1 species